UGGGGAAUUUUGGACAAUGGGCGAAAGCCUGAUCCAGCAAUGCCGCGUGUGUGAAGAAGGCCUUCGGGUUGUAAAGCACUUUUGUCCGGAAAGAAAUCCUCUGGGUUAAUACCUCGGGGGGAUGACGGUACCGGAAGAAUAAGCACCGGCUAACUACGUGCCAGCAGCCGCGGUAAUACGUAGGGUGCAAGCGUUAAUCGGAAUUACUGGGCGUAAAGCGUGCGCAGGCGGUUUGCUAAGACCGAUGUGAAAUCCCCGGGCUCAACCUGGGAACUGCAUUGGUGACUGGCAGGCUAGAGUAUGGCAGAGGGGGGUAGAAUUCCACGUGUAGCAGUGAAAUGCGUAGAGAUGUGGAGGAAUACCGAUGGCGAAGGCAGCCCCCUGGGCCAAUACUGACGCUCAUGCACGAAAGCGUGGGGAGCAAAACAGGAUUAGAUACCCUGGUAGUCCACGCCCUAAACGAUGUCAACUAGUUGUUGGGGAUUCAUUUCCUUAGUAACGUAGCUAACGCGUGAAGUUGACCGCCUGGGGAGUACGGUCGCAAGAUUAAAACUCAAAGGAAUUGACGGGGUCAUAGCUGUUUCCU
rnacentral:rRNA from 1 species